UAAAGCUGAAGGACAAAGACAGAAAACAUGAAGCGAGAGUGAAGAUGCACACUAGAACGUUUUUAAUUUCGGGGUUGUUAAUUCAGACAUGUCACAAUAUCGUAACGGCAAAAAUUAAAACCAAACUGAAUCCAAAAUCUGAAAAACUGUCAGAAAACGAGUAAGAUGAAGUGCAACUUAUUGGUCCUACUCGCUCCAUAUCUCUACAUCCUACUGCUGCUUUUAUACCUCCUCAGAAAACCACACGUGACAAACUGGCAUUGUCCCAUGACUUGUGUGGUUACUGCAAAAUGCAUGACAUACUUUUGAAAACAUCCAAUCAACGCAUUUUUUUAUUUUAUAUAUAAAACAAGAUUCCUCAUGAAUUCAGCCACCUAAAGUCAUUCACAGCUUCAAGCUAAAGGACAAAAUAUGACACAAGUUUAGGAAUAUUCUCCUUCAAAAACACCAAUUUCAACAAAGGAGUUUUCUUUUUUAAUCUUGUGUUAACAGAUGUGUCAGGCAGAAAACAUCUGGACUCCAGUGGGCCUGACGUUUGAUCACUUUAACAUCUGCUCAAAGCAUCUUCACAUUCUUUAGUGGAAAAAAGUAAGCUACAAAUGUUUAGUUUUUUUUUUUUUUUUUAAAGGUAAACUUUCCAGGACAAUUCAUCUAGGUGUGUGUAAAUUCUAAACAGGUUUAUAUCAAGAAUAACAAAAUAAAACAAAAAAUAUAUAAUAUAGCAGUGCUUGGAAGCACACCUGGCUCAUUUACCAUUCCACGUUAAAUCUUCUUCUGUAUUCUUUUUAAAAUUGUUUUAUAGUUGUUCUCAUUUUGAGAUCAUCAUUCUGACUAUGCCAUCAGUUUACCCCACAAACUGACAAACAUCUACCCUUCAUGGUGGAACAAGCAAAUAGCUUUUUAAAAUUUAAAUUUAAAUUUAAAUUUCUUCUUAAUUCUUUGUAAUAUUGCUCCUGAGCAGUUGUAUGUAAUCAGAGAGUGACUGAUUGUAGGCUUCGAUGACACAUCAACAUUAUCACCAAUUAGUCACUCAGAUGAUACUAAAACAUUUCUGCAUCUUAUAUAAAACAUAACUGGGAGAAGGAACUUGACAUGGAAAUUAGAGAUGAUGAUUGGCUUAAUAUGUGGAAGAUUUGUGGAUUUGGAGGGAGUUCUCUUUGAAAAAUUUGGCACGCUUCUUUAUUACACCAAAGAUAAAAAAAUAAACUGUCACAGCCACAGCUUAAGGCUGUGGACUGUGGUAGUGCUUCCUGUUCUCUCUCUCCUAGGUGUGUUCUUGGUGAAGCUAGCAGCAGGUGUGCUGCAUUGUAAUCAGCAGAUGAGCUGCAGGUGGAGCUGAAUGAUUGGUCUCUGAACGUCUCUAUAAAAGCAGAUGGCAGCCGUCAUUUGAAGCUGGACUGUCGUCUAAUCUCCAAUUCUGCCUUCUUCUCUGGAGGAUCUCCACCUGUCGCCAGCUUAACCUGGGAACAUCAACGUACACCUGGAAAGAGGACUUUCUCUGGGAACAUCUGCCACGACCGGGUUCUACAGACACAACCUUACCAAGCACAUGGUGAACACCUGGAGGGAGAGUUCUGGAUGAAGCCAAACCAAAAGGACUGUUCUCAACUCAUCAAAGUCUCCAAGCCCUAGUAUCACCAGACUAUUUGUGUCAAUACGUCGAAUUAAAUAAUCAGCGUUCCGUAUUUAAUGUAUUUUAUGCUUUGCAUAGGAUAGUUUUAGUCUGGGGUUUCAGUUCAUAAUUAGUCUAGGUUGGGUUAGUUCUGUAUUUUCAGUUGUUUCCCUACCUUGGUGUUACCAUACGUGGGUUAACCUUAGUUUCAGUUUCUAUGUUCAUGUAGUUAUUCCUCCGUACCUCUAGAUGGUUUUUUGUUUUUGAGUUCUAGUAGUAGUUUAGUUCUUCUUUGUCUAAGAUUCUAGUUCCGAUUCCUGUAUAGAGUUUCUUGUUGUGAAUAAAAGCAUUGUUAAAACGUU